rnacentral:rRNA from 1 species
UACGUAGGGUGCGAGCGUUAAUCGGAAUUACUGGGCGUAAAGCGUGCGUAGGCGGUUUUUCAAGCUUGAUGUGAAAGCCCCGGGCUUAACCUGGGAAUGGCAUUGAGGACUGAGAGGCUAGAGUGCGGCAGAGGGAGGUGGAAUUCCACGUGUAGCAGUGAAAUGCGUAGAGAUGUGGAGGAACACCGAUGGCGAAGGCAGCCUCCUGGGCCAGCACUGACGCUCAUGCACGAAAGCGUGGGGAGCAAACAGG